CAUGUCUAAACAUUGGUUCCCAUGCAAUCAUUGAUGUUAAGCAAUGUCAAGUCUGGUUAGUACUUAGAUGGGUGACAGCUUGGGAAUACCUGGUGCUGUAAG